UUGAAAGAGGAAUUAGGGGAAAAAUCAGAUGCGGCUAUUCACCUCUUCUCUUCUUCUUGCGAGCGGCGGCGGCCGGAGGACUUCACUCUCUCCGUCGUGCGACUUGCAUCGGUCAGAGAAUUCCGGUUUGGCUCCGUCCCGAUCCUUCAACCUCUCGUCCGUCUCUGUCUUUCCGAUUACGAACUCUCCGGCUCGCUCUCUCGAUCUCUCUUCCAUCUCUCUCCGAUACUCUCAGUUCUAGCAUCGACUCACUCUGAAUCAAGCUCUCAUCUAAUGAAGAUUGGCGAUGAUGAUGAUGACGAUUCGGUGUUCUCGUACAGAGAGAUGACGUGGAGGCGAGUUGAAGAUGCUGAGAUGCGAUAUGAAGAUGAUGUUAUUGCGAUGAAGAUGAUGAAAUUGCGAUGAAGAUCGAUGAAGAUGAUGAUUGAACGUGAUGAUGAUGUAUGAAGACAAAUCGAAGAAUUCGAUUUCCCUUUCCGUUACAGGUUUGUUGAAGGAUGAAGGUAAUGACGUUGUGACUCGGUGUUGUUGCUGAUACGUGAAUGAAGAUAAAUUAGAAUCUGUUGCAGGUUGGUUGAAGAAGAUGAAUGAAGUUCUAUGGUUGGAGAAGGUCGAUGAAGAGGUUUGUGAAAGAUGAUUGAAGCGAUUCAAGGAGGAAGGAGAUUGAAGAUUGAAUCCUCUUAUGGCUGGAGGAAGAUGAUCGAUGGAUGUUGAGGAGAGCCUGAGAUUGCUGAGAGACGAAGAGUGAAAGAUGAAGAUUCAAGGGCGCUGCUCGGAUCAGUUUUGGAUCAGCUAAUGCAACAGGAGGAUUGAUUCUUUAUUUGGAUGCAUAGUUUAGUAUUUAUGCUGCAAGUACUUUCUGGUUUUGUUAUGCAGCGGGAUUUUUGUUUCAGGGAUUAUGUCAUGCGUUUGAACCGGUUUAUAGAGAUGAAUUUUGUGGCGUGAAACUCGUAGAAGCAAUCGUAGCAAUAUGAAGAUUGAUGAUAGAAU